rnacentral:rRNA from 1 species
AACCAAAAAUAGCCCAAAAAUCCAACCCAAUUAAACUAGUAAUACAGUUUUAAAUAAAACAUUAACUCUAAUUAAAGUAUAGGUGAUAGAAAUUUUAUCCGGCGCUAUAGAAAAAGUACCGCAAGGGAAAAAAUAAAAGAAAGUGCAAGUACAAAAUAGCAAAGUUUAACACUUGUACCUUUUGCAUAAUGACUCAACUAGAAAAUAUUAGCAAAACGAACUGAAGUUAAGUGGCCCGAAACCAGACGAGCUACCUAUUUAGCAGCACACAGAGCGAACCCGUCUAUGUGGCAAAAUAGUGGGAUGACUACUGGGUAGUGGCGACAAACCUAUCGAGCCUGGUGAUAGCUGGUUGUCCAGAAUAGAAUUUUAGUUCUAAUUUAAGUCUGCAAAAAAAUAAGCAAAUUGAAAUGCAGGCUUAAAGGGUAGUCUAAGAGGGUACAGCCUUUUAGACCAGGGAAACAACCCUUAUUAGAGAGUAAGACAUAAAUCAAGCCACAAUAGUUGGCCUAAAAGCAGCCACCAAAUAAGAAAGCGUUCAAGCCCAACCGCACUUAAAACCAAUUCCAACAACAAACUCAAUACUCCUACCAUAAAACUGGACUAUUCUAUUUAUAAAUAGAAGCAAUAAUGUUGAUAUGAGUAACAAGAAAUAAUUCUCCUUGCACGUGUGUAUACCAGAACGAAUAACUCACUGGUAGUUAUCAAAAUAAAUAUAACUAAUCAACUAAAUUAUUACUACUAAUUGUUAAUCCAACACAGGGGUGCAGCCAAGGAAAGAUCUAAAAAAGUAAAAGGAACUCGGCAAACACAAAUCCCGCCUGUUUACCAAAAACAUCACCUCUAGCAUAAAAAGUAUUAGAGGCACUGCCUGCCCAGUGACUUUAGUUUAACGGCCGCGGUAUUCUGACCGUGCAAAGGUAGCAUAAUCACUUGUUCCCUAAAUAGGGACUCGUAUGAACGGCCCCACGAGGAUUUUGCUGUCUCUUACUUUAAAUCAGUGAAAUUGACAUCCCCGUGAAGAGGCGGGGAUUAAAAAACAAGACGAGAAGACCCUAUGGAGCUUUAAUUAACCAGCCCAUGAACUACAAAACUCACCCAAAGGAAAUAAUCAUGCUUCAAUUGGGCUGGCAAUUUAGGUUGGGGUGACCUCGGAAUAAAAACCAACUCCCGAGAAAGUUUUAUUGAGACCUACAAGUCAAAAUUAUUUCACUACAUAUUGAUCCGCAAUAUCAGCGACCAACGGAACAAGUUACCCUAGGGAUAACAGCGCAAUCCUAUUUAAGAGUUCAUAUCGACAAUUAGGGUUUACGACCUCGAUGUUGGAUCAGGACAUCCUAAUGGUGCAGCAGCUAUUAAUGUGUUCGUUUGUUCAACGAUUAAAGUCCUACGUGAUCUGAGUUCAGACCGGAGCAAUCCAGGUCGGUUUCUAUCUAUUUACAGGCCCCUCCCAGUACGAAAGGACAAGAGAGACAGGGCCUACUUAAACCCAAGCGCCCUAAUAAAGAUAAUGAAUUAAUCUUAAUUUUAUUACACUAAUUUAUGCCCGAAAUAAGGGCCUUGUUAAAGUGGCAGAGCUC